rnacentral:rRNA from 1 species
CGAACGAUGAACCACCUUCGGGUGGGGAUUAGUGGCGAACGGGUGAGUAACACGUGGGCAAUCUGCCCUGCACUCUGGGACAAGCCCUGGAAACGGGGUCUAAUACCGGAUACGACACUCUCGGGCAUCCGAUGAGUGUGGAAAGCUCCGGCGGUGCAGGAUGAGCCCGCGGCCUAUCAGCUUGUUGGUGAGGUAACGGCUCACCAAGGCGACGACGGGUAGCCGGCCUGAGAGGGCGACCGGCCACACUGGGACUGAGACACGGCCCAGACUCCUACGGGAGGCAGCAGUGGGGAAUAUUGCACAAUGGGCGCAAGCCUGAUGCAGCGACGCCGCGUGAGGGAUGACGGCCUUCGGGUUGUAAACCUCUUUCAGCAGGGAAGAAGCGAAAGUGACGGUACCUGCAGAAGAAGCGCCGGCUAACUACGUGCCAGCAGCCGCGGUAAUACGUAGGGCGCGAGCGUUGUCCGGAAUUAUUGGGCGUAAAGAGCUCGUAGGCGGCUUGUCGCGUCGGUUGUGAAAGCCCGGGGCUUAACCCCGGGUCUGCAGUCGAUACGGGCAGGCUAGAGUUCGGUAGGGGAGAUCGGAAUUCCUGGUGUAGCGGUGAAAUGCGCAGAUAUCAGGAGGAACACCGGUGGCGAAGGCGGAUCUCUGGGCCGAUACUGACGCUG